UUCUCCAAUCGACAAGCGACCUCUAUGACAAAGGCACAUCGACGUUGGAGCUCCCUUGUUCAGCUUCGCCGCACUCUUCCCCUGCUCUCCCGCACAUCCUUCUCCGCCAUCGCAACUGCCUUCUCCACCGCUCCCUUCUGCCUCACGCAGCUCUAAUGCCCCCCUUGCCUAUCACUUGAAUCUCCCCUUUUGCAACCCAAAAAAUGGUUCUUCUUCCCCCCAUUUGUGUCUCCUGCUCACGCACGGGGACGACACAUCCUCCUCGUUGACCCUGCCAUCGGAGGAGACGCGGGGCCGACAACAAUGGCUCGCACUGCGCCUGCAUGACCUCAGGUGCGCGUGGGCCGCCGCAUUGCGGGCAUACGCACCGGUCGCCGCCUCGGCCGUGCGCCCGUCCGAAAGGAGGAUGCGGGGAUUUCGCUCACCGCCAAGGCAUCCUCGGUGAGAUUUCUCGCCGCAGCAAAGGAGGAGUGUCACCAUGGAUUUGGUUGUCAAACAACUACAUACUACAGGUGGUUCUUGAAGAUGUAGAGCAGCCAGGGAGUCUGUAUCUUGCUGAGCCCGCAGCUUGUUCUGUGAGAGGAAGAUCUCCAUGGCACUUUGCAGUCUCCCGAGCUCCUUCGUGAUGGUGUCGUCCAGCUGGUUCUGGUAAAUGCAGAGCUUUACGAGCAUGGGAAGCGCCUUGAGCUCGAAUCACAUUUCGCUUGGCGUCGUGCUCAUUGCCAUACUGAACCUGAAUCGCUUUUCUUCUGGUGUUUUGUUCUUUUCCAUACUGAACCUGAAUCACAUUUCUUGUGUUGAUGUGUUCUUUUUCAUACUGAACCUGAAUCAAAUUUCUUUUGUUGAUGUGUUCUUUAUCAUACAGAACCUGAAUCAGUUUUUUCUUUUUCAGUCUUUGCUAAAGAUCGAACUAGUAAAUCUUGUCAUUACAAAUGUUUA